AAGAGUCCCACUGGUUUGGGACUCUUCGAUCAAGGUUUCAUAUCGAUGUACUUUGAUACCCGAUUGCCCAUCAAAUUUAGACUCAAUAUUUAUGAGAGGUUUAAUUAGUGAUUUUAUCACUAAUUAACUCAAUUUGAUUGAGUAAUUAUUUUUGGAUCAAGUCCAAUUGAAUUGGAUUCAGUUAGGUUUGACCCGAUUAGGUUAAG
rnacentral:lncRNA from 1 species